rnacentral:rRNA from 1 species
AUUGAACGCUGGCGGCUGGCCUAACACAUGCAAGUCGAACGAGUGGCGGACGGGUGAGUAAUGUUUGGGAAACUGCCUGAUGGAGGGGGAUAACGACGGGAAACUGUCGCUAAUACCGCGUACCAUAAGAUGUGCCCAGGUGGGAUUAGCUAGUUGGUGGGGUAACGGCUCACCAAGCCGACGAUCCCUAGCUGGUCUGAGAGGAUGACCAGCCACACUGGAACUGAGACACGGUCCAGACUCCUACGGGAGGCAGCAGUGGGGAAGAUUGCGCAAUGGGCGCAAGUCUGAUGCAGCAAUGCCGCGUGUAUGAAGAAGGCCUUCGGGUUGUAAAGUACUUUCAGCGGGGAGGCGUUACCCGCAGAAGAAGCACCGGCUAACUCCGUGCCAGCAGCCGCGGUAAUAC